GUGAGGAAUAUUGCGCAAUGGAGGCAACUCUGACGCAGCCAUGCCGCGUGCAGGAAGAAGGCGCUACGCGUUGUAAACUGCUUUUAACCGGGAAGAAACCCCAGGACGUGUCCUGGGUUGACGGUACCGGAGGAAUAAGCACCGGCUAACUUCGUGCCAGCAGCCGCGGUAAUACGAAGGGUGCAAGCGUUAUCCGGAUUCAUUGGGUUUAAAGGGUGCGUAGGCGGAGCGUUAAGUCAGUGGUGAAAUCCUGCAGCUUAACUGUAGACUUGCCAUUGAUACUGGCGCUCUUGAGUGCGCUUGAAGUGGGCGGAAUGUGCCGUGUAGCGGUGAAAUGCUUAGAUAUGGCACAGAACACCAAUUGUGAAGGCAGCUCACUAAGGCGAUACUGACGCUGAGGCACGAAAGCGUGGGGAUCGAACAGGAUUAGAAACCCCUGUAGUCC
rnacentral:rRNA from 1 species